CCUACGGGUGGCUGCAGUGGGGAAUAUUGGACAAUGGGCGAAAGCCUGAUCCAGCCAUGCCGCGUGUGUGAAGAAGGCCUUCGGGUUGUAAAGCACUUUCAGUGGGGAAGAAAGCCUUGGGGCUAAUACCCUCGAGGAAGGACAUCACCCACAGAAGAAGCACCGGCUAACUCCGUGCCAGCAGCCGCGGUAAUACGGAGGGUGCGAGCGUUAAUCGGAAUUACUGGGCGUAAAGCGCGCGUAGGCGGUCUGAUAAGCCGGUUGUGAAAGCCCCGGGCUCAACCUGGGAACGGCAUCCGGAACUGUCAGGCUAGAGUGCAGGAGAGGAAGGUAGAAUUCCCGGUGUAGCGGUGAAAUGCGUAGAGAUCGGGAGGAAUACCAGUGGCGAAGGCGGCCUUCUGGACUGACACUGACGCUGAGGUGCGAAAGCGUGGGUAGCAAACAGGACUAGAUACCCGGGUAGUC
rnacentral:rRNA from 1 species